rnacentral:rRNA from 1 species
AACGUAGGAGGCGAGCGUUAUCCGGAGUUACUGGGAGUAAAGCGCGCGCAGGCGGUGGUGUAAGUGGGGUGUGAAAUCUCUCGGCUAAACCGGGAGGGUGCGCCUCAGACUGCACGACUAGAGUGGGAUAGAGGGACGUGGAAUUCCGGGUGGAGCGGUGAAAUGUGUAGAGAUCCGGAGGAACACCAGAGGCGCAAGCGGCGUCCUGGGUCCUAACUGACGCUGAGGCGCGAAAGCUUGGGGAGCGAACGGG